UUGAAAUACCGGUUUUCAUACGAUCACCGAAGUUAAGCAACGUCAAGCCUGGUCAGUGCCUAGAUGGGUGACCACUUCGGAAUACCAGGUGCUGUAA